rnacentral:rRNA from 1 species
UGGGGAAUAUUGGACAAUGGGCGCAAGCCUGAUCCAGCAAUGCCGCGUGUGUGAAGAAGGCCUUCGGGUUGUAAAGCACUUUUAUCAGGAGCGAAACGCUGUCGGCUAAUACCCGGCGGAACUGACGGUACCUGAGGAAUAAGCACCGGCUAACUUCNUGCCAGCAGCCGCGGUAAUACGAAGGGUGCAAGCGUUAAUCGGAAUUACUGGGCGUAAAGCGUCGUAGGCGGUUUCUUAAGUCUGCUGUGAAAUCCCCGGGCUCAACCUGGGAAUGGCAGUGGAUACUGGGAGGCUAGAGUGUGUCAGAGGGUGGUGGAAUUCCCGGUGUAGCGGUGAAAUGCGUAGAGAUCGGGAGGAACAUCAGUGGCGAAGGCGGCCACCUGGGACAACACUGACGCUGAGGCACGAAAGCGUGGGGAGCAAACAGGAUUAGAUACCCUGGUAGUCCACG